UACGGAGGGUGCAAGCGUUGUUCGGAAUUACUGGGCGUAAAGCGCGUGCAGGCGGUUGAGCAAGUCAGAUGUGAAAGCCUUCCGCUUAACGGAAGAAGUGCAUUUGAAACUACUCAGCUAGAGUUCGAGAGAGGAAAGUGGAAUUCCCGGUGUAGAGGUGAAAUUCGUAGAUAUCGGGAAGAACACCAGUGGCGAAGGCGGCUUUCUGGCUCGAUACUGACGCUGAGACGCGAAAGCGUGGGGAGCAAACAGG
rnacentral:rRNA from 1 species